GCCCCCGUUGUCUAAUGGUUAUGACGUCAGACUUCUACAUUUGUGAAUCUGGAGGUUGCGGGUUCGAGUCCCGCCGGGGGUU